rnacentral:rRNA from 1 species
UACGGGGGGGGGCAAGCGUUGUUCGGAAUUACUGGGCGUAAAGGGCUCGUAGGCGGCCAACUAAGUCAGACGUGAAAUCCCUCGGCUUAACCGGGGAACUGCAUCUGAUACUGGAUGGCUUGAGUUCGGGAGAGGGAUGCGGAAUUCCAGGUGUAGCGGUGAAAUGCGUAGAUAUCUGGAGGAACACCGGUGGCGAAGGCGGCAUCCUGGACCGACACUGACGCUGAGGAGCGAAAGCUAGGGGAGCAAAGCGGGG